ensembl:lincRNA
AAACAAAACAAAAAAACCGACCGAUUCUUUUCUGUCUGACCGCUCCAAGGCUGGCCAGGUCUCGAGACCCUGCGGUUGAGUUUUAGGAGCUGGGACUCGGCUGUGCUUUCCCUACGGGAGGUGCAGUGCCUUCCUGGCCCGAGCCUCUCUCCAGGCGCAUCUCCACGAACAGGCCACGUGAGUGCCUUUGCCAGCGUGAAGGGGCCAAGGUAAAGCCAUGCUUGGCGCCGCUUGGGCCCAGCUGUCCUGCGGGUUGAAAGCCAGUUUGGACUCUGUCCCUGUAAGCGCGCCUCCUUGACAUCCGGGCAAACCCGUGGGUCUAUUCGCUGGGUCUAUGUGUCUCGUUAGAUUUCGUGGGCUGGCUGGAGGUUGCCACUCUCUUGCCUCAGCCUCCCAAGUGCUGGGAUUACCGUUGUGUGCCACCCGCAUCCUGCAGGGUGUGUUGGCUUGGGCUACACAUUGAAAAAUGGCCCAGGAGGGUGUGAUUUAUUUGCCAUCGAGACAAUGCCAUGAAAUGCUUGCAAAGCGUAUUUCUGUCGGGUCAGUGAGCCCCGACCUCUCAGGCCCAGCCCGGAAAAGGCCCUUGGAGGAGGCGGCUGUUGCUUGGACACGGAGCUGAGAGUGGAGGCCGGCGGGGCUGGAACGGGCUUGGCAGAGACAAAUGACUGCACCGCAGAUGAUGUACGGCAGUUUAUGUCCUAACGGCCUGUGCUGCGGAGUGGAAGUGACGGCCAUGUCGGUGAGGGUGCGGUUCCUGUCCCCUCGGGACGCCGGGGCUGUGGGGGCCGUGGGCCGCAGCGCCUCCUUCGCGGGCUUCAGCAGCACACAGAGCUGGAGGAUUGCGAAGUUGACCAGUAAGAACUCUGUGAGGUCGAGAUCACCUGCAAAGUACUCUAAGGCCUAUGGCACGCUGCGCAAGGCGCCCACCAGCCUGGAGCCCAAGCCCCAGCAGGUGAAGAAGAUCUUCGAAGCCCUAAAGUGUGGCCUCAAGGAGUAUCUGUGUCUGCAGCAGGCCGAGCUGGACUUCCUGUCAGGACGCCACACAGACACCCGCAGGAAUUCCAGGCUGCAAACACGCUGGAUGGAAAGGCACAUCAGGAAGAUGGAGUUCCACAUCAGCAAGGUGGAUGAGCUGUACGAGGGCUACUGCAUCCAGUGUCGCCUGCGCGACGGGGCCUCCAACAUGCAGCGUGCCUUCUCGCGGUGCCCGCCGAGCCGCGCGUCCCGCGAGAGCCUGCAGGAGCUGGGCCGCAGCCUGCACGAGUGCUCUCAGGACAUGUGGCUCAUUGAGGGGGCGCUGGAGGUCCACCUGGGCGAGUUCCACAUCAGGAUGAAAGGCUUGGUGGGCUACGCACGCCUCUGUCCGGGGGACCAGUAUGAGGUGCUCAUGCGCCUGGGCCGCCAGCGCUGGAGGCUGAAGGGCCGCAUCGAGUCUGACGACAGCCAGAUCUGGGACGCAGAGGAGAAGGCCUUCGUCCCCACCCUGCACGACAACUUGGAGAUCAAGGUGAUUGAGCUUCGGGGCCUGAGCUCGCUGGCCGUGGGCACCGUGACGUGCGACAUCGCCGACUUCUUCAGGACGCGGCCGCAGAUCGUCGUGGUGGACAUCACGGAGCUGGGCACCAUCAAGCUGCAGCUGGAGGUGCUGUGGAGCCCCUUUGAUUCCGAGAGCCCCCUGGUGUCACCCAGCCCCACGGGCAAGCUUUCCGUGGGCAGCAGGAAGGGCUCUUUGUACAACUGGACACCCCCGAGCACCCCCAGCUUCCGGGAGAGAUACUACCUGUCCAUCCUGCAGCAGCCAGCACAGCAGCCCUUGCUGCUAGGUGGGCCAAGGGCUACCUCCAUCCUCAGCUACCUGUCUGACAACGACCUCCAGGGCCCUAGCCUUAGGAGCCGGAGUCAGGAGCUGCUGGAGAUGGACUCCUUCAGCUCCGAGGAUCCCCGAGACACUGAGACCAACACGUCGGCAUCCACCCUGGAUGUGGGCUUCCUGCCCUUGGCCAUUGGCCCCGCUGCCUCCAACGAAGAGGAGGCGCAGGAGGACCGCCCUCCCCUGGGCCUGCUGCCAGCCAUGGCCCCCCUGGCAGGUGGCUCCUUUGUGGAGCGGCCCGGCUGGAGGAACUUGGGCAUGGAGAGCUCCAGCCUGCCCUGGGGCUCCCCCUUCCACAGCUGCUCCGUUCUGAGCAAGCAAAGGUGCCAGGGGGAAGGAGAAACGAGGGACGGAGCAGAUGCACCCGCGGCAGCCCCGGAGCAGCCACUGCAGGAGGUCCUGGAGUUACUGAGGUCCACGGGCCCCACGCAGCCCCAGCUCCGGGAGCUGGAGUACCAGGUCCUCGGCUUCCGGGACCGCCUGAAGCCACGCGGAGCCCGGCAGGAGCACGCCUCCUCCGAGAGCCUCAUGGAGUGUAUACUGGAGAGCUUCGCCUUCCUCAACGCUGACCUCGCUGCCGACCAGCUGUCCCUGUUUGGGGGCUCCCAGGGCCCCCGAAAAGACAGGACGACACCCCCACCGCCGUCACUGAAGGUAUCACCCAGGGAGCUCACCGCCGGUGCCCCGGAGCUGGAUGUGCUACUCACGGUCCACCUCCAAGUCUGCAAGGCCCUGCUGCAGAAACUGGCCUCGCCUAAUUUGUCCAGGAUGGUUGAGGACUGCCUUGUGGAAGAGGCUGCACAACAAAAGCAGGUUCUGGAGAUGCUUUCUGACCUUGAUUUCGAGAAGGCCAGCCGGGCAACGUCCAUCGAAGACAUCCUUCCGCAGGCCUCGCGCAGGAAGAGCUGCCUGAAGCUGUGGCGAGCGUGCACAGACCCUGGUGGAGUCCUGGCCUGCCCUGCGCCAAGGCUCCUAAGCCAGCUCAAGAAAAUGUUCCUGCACAGAGUCCGUGGGAAAUACCCAGGACAGCUGGAAAUAGUGUGCCGCAGGCUAUUGGAGCAGGUGGUCACCUGCGGCGGGCUGCUGCCUGCGGCCGGGCUCCCCGAAGAACAGACCGUCACCUGGUUCCAGUUUCAGCGCUACCUGCAGAGGCAGAGCGUCUCAGACCUGGAGAGGCACUUCGCGCAGCUCACCAAGGAAGUCACGCUCAUCGAGGAGCUGCACUGCGCCAGGCAGGUCAAGGCCAUCAGGAAGCUGCAGGGCAAGCGGCUGGGCCAGCUCCAGCCCCUACCCCAGACCCUGCGCGCCUGGGCACUGCUGCAGCUGGACGGGCCCCCAAGGGUGUGCAGGGCGGCCAGCUCGCGCCUGGCCACUGCGGCCAGGAACCGAAGCUUCCGUGAAAAGGCCCUGCUCUUCUACACUGACGCCCUGACUGACCGUGACACCAGGCUCCAGCGGGCUGCGUGCAUGGCGCUCCGGCAGCUCCAGGGCAUCGAAAGCAUUGACCAGAUCGCCAGCCUGUGCCAGUCUGACCUAGAGGCCGUGCGAGCAGCAGCCCGGGAAGCCACUCUGUCGUUUGGAGAAAAAGGACGCUUAGCUUUUGAGAAGAUGGACAAACUUCAUGCAGAACAAAGAGAUGGUUUCUGCCAGGAGGCAGAUGUUGAAAUCACAAUAUUCUAA